ACAACAAUCGGGCCGUCGGUCUACCGAGCAAUAUCACCUGCUCGGUGGAAGACCUACCAUUUUUCGU
rnacentral:pre_miRNA from 1 species